UACAGAGGGGGCGAGCGUUGUUCGGAAUUACUGGGCGUAAAGGGCGCGUAGGCGGCCUUCUAAGUCGAACGUGAAAUCCCCGGGCUCAACCCGGGAACUGCGUCCGAUACUGGGAGGCUUGAAUCCGGGAGAGGGAUGUGGAAUUCCAGGUGUAGCGGUGAAAUGCGUAGAUAGUCAGGAGGAAUACCGGUGGUGUAGACGGCUCCUCUGGACCGC
rnacentral:rRNA from 1 species